rnacentral:miRNA from 2 species
CAGAAUUCCCCAGUACCAAGGAA